GUGUUUGGUUGGUAGCAAUACACUUAAAAAAUAGAACAAUAUAGAAAAGAGUAACAUGGCACCUGGGCAAGGAUGACUUACAAAGUUAUGAAAUGUUCCACAUAUUU